rnacentral:tRNA from 1 species
GGCUUAGCUCAGUAGGCAGAGCAACUGACUUGUAAUCAGUAGGUCACCAGUUCGAUUCCGGUAGCCG